GUCGCUGGCCCUACCACCCUGAAGGCACCCAAUUUCAUCUGAUCACAGAAGCUAAGCAGGGUCAGGCUGGUUAAUAGUUGAAUGGGAGAUCAUAUGAUCCCCUAGGAGUGAUC
rnacentral:rRNA from 1 species